rnacentral:rRNA from 1 species
AGUGAACGCUGGCGGUAGGCCUAACACAUGCAAGUCGAACGGCAGCACAGUAAGAGCUUGCUCUUACGGGUGGCGAGUGGCGGACGGGUGAGGAAUACAUCGGAAUCUACUUUUUCGUGGGGGAUAACGUAGGGAAACUUACGCUAAUACCGCAUACGACCUACGGGUGAAAGCAGGGGAUCUUCGGACCUUGCGCGAUUGAAUGAGCCGAUGUCGGAUUAGCUAGUUGGCGGGGUAAAGGCCCACCAAGGCGACGAUCCGUAGCUGGUCUGAGAGGAUGAUCAGCCACACUGGAACUGAGACACGGUCCAGACUACUAAGGGAGGCAGCAGUGGGGAAUAUUGGACAAUGGGCGCAAGCAUGAUCCAGCCAUACCGCGUGGGUGAAGAAGGCCUUCGGGUUGUAAAGCCCUUUUGUUGGGAAAGAAAAGCAGCAGGUUAAUACCCCGCUGUUCUGACGGUACCCAAAGAAUAAGCACCGGCUAACUUCGUG